AUAAACUUUGCAUGUGAGUGUGCGUUGUGGUGGUCAUGAGGUAUGCCCUUGACUUUACUUACUGCCGAAGUCUUUGGCUAGUUCUACAAGUAACCUUUAAAUCCAAAGGGAAUUAAGUAUAAAAAUCAGUCUUCCAAACACAUAGCACUUUGGCUGAUUAGCAUGGAGAAAAAAAGAAUUAAUAAUGAGGAGAAAAAAAAGAUAGCCAGAAACUACAAACACCAGGGAGCCUGUUUCAGUGUUACUUGAAAAUAAAGCAACAAUAGCAAGACUAGUCAUCUCAUUAAAUAAUAAUUUGUUAUUUCCCUUUAAUGCUGCACAUGUUCUUUAAUGGCUGUGACUUCUUAAGACAGUUGGACUAUAAUUUCUAUGAAUUUAUCAAUGGGAAACUUGUAUAACUUUUAAUGAGUCCUUGAACUGACCACCUGUGAGCAAGAGGUACCAUAAACCUUGUCUCUUGAAAUAUGAAAAAUAAUUUGAACAUAAGCCUUCCUUGAUGUAGCUGAUCUAAAGUAGGUCUUGAAAUUACUGGCAGACAGCUCAAGCCAUGCUCCCUACAAAAUUAAAACAUGUCUACUGCCUCUGUCCAAUGGCAGGGAGUAGGUGUCCACAUUUCUCACAUUUGGAAAAUCGCAGGUAAUUAAAGAAGGAAAAAUGUCUGUGUUUAUUAGAGAUUGAUUCUUUCUGUAGAAAGGCAUAUUGUUAUAUUUCCUUGUGAUCAGAGUCCAGCCAUCAGGAGAACUUUCCAGCUGUUGAAGCUAUCCUCAUGGUCUUUUAUGUCUACGUGAUUGGUAUGGAUUAUCUUUCAACUCUGAGCAUGCUGCGGGAACAAAAUUCAGGCACUGGAAGUCCAGUGCCAGUUUUAGAAAGACUGCAGAUAUGUUGAAUUCAUUUCUCAGGAUGUGCUCUGCAAGAGAGAACAGUGAAGAAGCCAGAAAAAGUUAGAUGGCAAAACCACCACAAAUGCACAAACUGUUUUUACAGAAACAUUAGCAUAAACAAGGUAAAUCCAUCCCUUAGCUCAGAUGGCAAUUACAUCACAGGUAGCACAACAUUUUACUACCUUCAGCAGCUUUACAGAGAUAAACUCUCUGUGAAAAAUACACUUUGAACAAUUUUUCCUGUGUGUGAGCCUGAACCAGGCUUUUCUCUGGUGCUAAACAUAAAUACCCUACUGUAACUCCUGUCUUCUUCUUGCAUAAAUAAACAGUCUACACA
rnacentral:lncRNA from 1 species